AGUGUGGCUCAGUGGUAGAGCAGCUGAUUCGUAAUCAGCAGGUCGAGGGUUCAAUCCCCUCCACU
rnacentral:tRNA from 1 species